rnacentral:rRNA from 1 species
UACGUAGGGGGCUAGCGUUGUCCGGAAUCAUUGGGCGUAAAGAGCGUGUAGGCGGCCCGGUAAGUCCGCUGUGAAAGUCGGGGGCUCAACCCUCGAAUGCCGGUGGAUACUGUCGGGCUAGAGUGCGGAAGAGGCGAGUGGAAUUCCUGGUGUAGCGGUGAAAUGCGCAGAUAUCAGGAAGAACACCCGUGGCGAAGGCGGCUCUCUGGGACGGUACUGACGCUGAGACGCGAAAGCGUGGGGAGCAAACAGG